UUCAUGACUGGGGUGAAGUCGUAACAAGGUAGCCGUAGGGGAACCUGCGGCUGGAUCACCUCCU
rnacentral:rRNA from 1 species